UAGAACUGGUGAACCGAAGGGGGCAGAUGGAGACGGCGUAUUUACAGUAUAAUAAGAAUCGUACCAAUGAUAAAGUUUAGAAUUAGCUACUGACUUAAAUCUUUUAUAAGUUAGUCUCCUUCAGGUAUUAUUAGCUUUUUUUCAGGAAGAUGUAAAUAAAUUAUGGCUAUUUUUCUGAACAACAAAGUUUAAAUUGAAACUUCCUGUAGAGAGACAAGAUCCAUAUUUAUUGAAUUUUUGCUUAAUUAUGUUAUAAAUACAUAGAUAAAUUAAAUCACUAUUUGUAUUGCAUUAUGUUUUAUAUUCCAUUACAUUUCAUGCCAAACAUAAAUUAUUUACCAUCUAACCAUUUAGAAUAAAAACAAACACAUUUGUUUAGAUGUCACAGGGCUCGACAUUAAAGGUAGUCCGACUGUCCGGGACAACCAAAGUGUUAGUCUGGACAAGUUAAUUAAGAAUUUGCUAGUCCGACAGGACAAGUGGUCGUUAUAAUUUAAUUACUUAGAACAAAUGCCUUUAAAUCCGUUAUUUCUGUGGAGUAACCACCCUUUUUUUUAAAAUAUAUAUUUUGUUUACGUUUAAACGACAAAGCACGAGAUAUUCCGAUAGUUCCAUGGGAUACUACACCGUACUGAUUAUAAGGGAAGCAACCCUGAACAUUUUUUCUUUGCCAAGAUAACAAGAUUAUUCUCCCUUGUAGUGAAAAUGCAUUUUACAACACCGGUACACAUUGAUCUUUAAGACAAAUAAAGUAGUAUGGUGGCAAAACACAAGUUUUUGUCAGUUAUUUUGGCUUUGUAUAAUGUUUAAAAAAUCAAUAAUAUCCAGUUUUCCUGUUAUCUUGUCAGUUCUUUUUAUAUUGAAAUUUCCUAAAAUUAAGUUAACAUGUAUUUUGAAUGCUUUCAGUCUUUAUGAUUUGAGCAUUUUGUAUAAUUUAAUUAUUUUGCAAAUAACUGAGCAAAAUAAGAUAUAAUGGUCAGAACAAGUUGCUUUCUGGUCAGGACAAGUGAAGUUUUGGUCUACUUGUCCGACUGGACAAGUGGCUCCAAAAGUUAAUGUCGAGCCCUGUGUCAUGACAGGCAGGGUAUUUUAUUCAAUUGGGCUUUCUACACAUAAAUGCAAAUGUUAAUGCUACUGACAACCGUAUGUCUGCAUUUCGCAUCAGAGAUCGACCUCAAUGGCACCGCUUUAUUGAAGAGUCGAGACGUCAGUAAACGUUGCGACAUCCUUCCAAUCAAUAUAGGAACUAAAACGAUACUAAAUCAAAUGUAAAGGACAGGUGUUUACACGUAUUUUUAAACCAGCACAUUUGUGGCAUGCGAAUAGUUCAAUAUUAUUUAACACAUCAGGCGGUAAGCCUAAACUAAAAAUCACUCAAGAGCACAAUUUAACUACACCAUUCAAAAGCGCAAGCCCAUGGACACCAUGGCCCGAACAACCCGCCCGACCCAGCCUAUGCCCAAAGCGCACACAGGACGCCCCCAAUGCCCAUAAACCAGGCAAAUCGCAAAAAUUAAACACAGUGGAACAUAAAUUUGUAACAACCAGCUUCGAUAUUUGCAAGAUUUAUCCACCACCACCAAUCAAGAGAAAUGCACAUGACUUCAUGUACACCCCAAACAAAAAUUGGUAGUAAUGAACGAUUCAGGUUUUACCGCGAGCGGGAUACGCAACCCUACUGCCAUUUUUCUUUUUCUUUCUUUUGUUAGCUCACCUGUCACGAAGUGACAUGGUGAGCUUAUGUGACCAUGUGAUUUCCGGCGUUCCUUGUGCGUGCGUGCGUGUGUGCGUGCGUCCGUCCGUCAACAAUUUGUUUGUGUAGACAGUAGAGGUCACAGAUUUCAUCCAAUCUUUAUGAAAUUUGGUCAGAAUGUUUAUCUUGAUGAAAUCUGGGUUGGGAUUGUAUUUGGGUCAUCUGGGGUCAAAAACUAGGUCACUAGGUCACAUAAUAGGUCAAAUAAUAGAAAAACCUUGUGUAGACAAUAGAGGUUGCAGUUUUCAUCCAAUCUUUAUGAAAUUUGGUCAGAAUGUUUAUCUUGAUGAAAUCUGGCUUGGGAAUGUAUUUGGGUCAUCUGGGCUCAAAAACUAGGUCACUAGGUCAAAUAAUAGAAAAACCUUGUGUAGACAAAUGAGGUCGCAGUUUUCAUCCAAUCUUUAUAAAAUUUGGUCAGAAUGUUUAUCUUGAUAACAUCUGGGUUGGGAUUGUAUUUGGGUCAUCUGAGGUAAAAAACAAGGUCACUAGGUCAAAUAAUAGAAAAACCGUCAACAAUUUAUUUGUGUAGACAGUAGAGGUCACAGUUUUCAUCCAAACUUUAUGAAAUUUGGUCAGAAUGUUUAUCUUGAUGAAAUCUGGGUUAGGAUUGUAUUUGGGUCAUCUGGGUCAAAAACUAGGUCAUUAGGUCAAAAACUAGGUUACUAGGUGAAAUAAUAGAAAAACC